rnacentral:rRNA from 1 species
UACGAGGGGGGCAAGCGUUGUUCGGAAUUACUGGGCGUAAAGAGCGCGCAGGCGGUCGUCCAAGUCGCGUGUGAAAGCCCCCGGCUCAACUGGGGAGGGUCACGCGAUACUGAUCGACUCGAAGGCAGGAGAGGGAAGCGGAAUUCCCGGUGUAGUGGUGAAAUGCGUAGAUAUCGGGAGGAACACCAGUGGCGAAGGCGGCUUCCUGGCCUGUUCUUGACGCUGAGGCGCGAAAGCUAGGGUAGCAAACGGG